GACUCGGUGGCGAAAUGUAUGGCGUCCGCUUUACAUAUGCACUCAAGGCUCAAGCAAAUAUCGUCGUGAGUGGAAGUUGCCCGUUCAAACCGGGCCCGAGUCA